rnacentral:tRNA from 1 species
GGAGAGGUGGCUGAGUGGACUAAAGCGCUGGUCUUGAAAACCAGUACCGCCGCAAGGUGGUCGGGGGUUCGAAUCCCUCCCUCUCCGCCA